AGUGGGGAAUAUUGCACAAUGGGCGGAAGCCUGAUGCAGCGACGCCGCGUGGGGGAUGACGGCCUUCGGGUUGUAAACUCCUUUCGACAGGGACGAAGCUUUUUGUGACGGUACCUGUAUAAGAAGCACCGGCUAACUACGUGCCAGCAGCCGCGGUAAUACGUAGGGUGCGAGCGUUGUCCGGAAUUACUGGGCGUAAAGAGCUCGUAGGUGGUUUGUCGCGUCGUCUGUGAAAUUCCGGGGCUUAACUCCGGGCGUGCAGGCGAUACGGGCAUAACUUGAGUGCUGUAGGGGAGACUGGAAUUCCUGGUGUAGCGGUGAAAUGCGCAGAUAUCAGGAGGAACACCGAUGGCGAAGGCAGGUCUCUGGGCAGUAACUGACGCUGAGGAGCGAAAGCAUGGGUAGCGAA
rnacentral:rRNA from 1 species